UCCUGGCUUAGGAUGAACGCUGGCGGCGUGCCUAACACAUGCAAGUCGAACGGAGAUUAGACGCUGACGAGGUUUCGGCCAAAUCUUGUUAAUCUUAGUGGCGGACGGGUGAGUAACGCGUGGGCAACCUGCCUCAUACCGGGGGGACAGCAGCUGGAAACGGCUGAUAAUACCGCAUAAGCGCACAGAGUCGCAUGACUCAGUGUGAAAAACUCCGGUGGUAUGAGAUGGGGCCCGCGUCAGAUUAGCCAGUUGGCAGGGUAACGGCCUACCAAAGCGACGAUCUGUAGCCGGCCUGAGAGGGCGGACGGCCACAUUGGGACUGAGACACGGCCCAAACUCCUACGGGAGGCAGCAGGUGGGGGAUAUUGCACAAUGGGGGAAACCCUGAUGCAGCGACGCCGCCGUGAGUGAAGAAGUAUUUCGGUAUGUAAAGCUCUAUCAGCAGGGAAGAAACGGCCCCUUAAGGGGAGAUGACGGUACCUGACUAAGAGGCCCCGGCUAACUACGUGCCAGCAGCAGC
rnacentral:rRNA from 1 species